rnacentral:lncRNA from 1 species
CACCUAAUCAACUGUCUAAUUUUGGGCUCAGAUGUAUCAGCUAAUCUGACCUUGUCUUUCCACCUUGUCAAGACUGUCAUUCACUACAUCACACAAUGGCCACCAUGUAAAGACCCAGGAGAGAAACUCCCUUGGGCCUCGGUGUUAGGAAAAGUCUGUUUGCUACUGAAAAGCCAAGCAACAAUGACAAAAAACAUAAAAGCAAACAAAGAAACCAAUGAUGAGCGAACUGGAAGAAGAAAAAAAUGGUGUCCUCUAUUUCACUAAGAAUCUUUUAAAUGGCUGUGAUCCCAACUUUAAAUUGAUUGGAAAGAAGUCACAGGUGCACCCUUCCUCUAGAAUUAAACACAAGACCUCCCUCUUCAUUCAUGUACUCAUUAUUCAUUCAGUCAACAUACAUUUCCUGUACAUUGACGGUACAAGUUGAACAAUAUGGAUACCAGCCCUGCCCCUAAGUGCUGACCAACUAUGGCCAAGGACAGCAACAGAACAAGU